rnacentral:lncRNA from 1 species
AGCUCUUUGUUUUGCAAAAUCGGUUGAAGAAGAGCAAGAGCUCAACCAAUUAUUGUUUAAUGACGAUAAUCUCCAUACUCAGUCAAGUGUUGUUGAAUCACCUCCAUACUCAGAUGUUCUCACUUCGGCUGACAAGAACAAUGUAAAAAAGAAAGUGAAGCAUUGGAAUCAUGAUGAACAUAGGUAUGUAUUUUAUUUUAGAAUUUAUAAUUA